CAGAGGGAAUUAGCCAUUACCCAAGCAUAUAUGUGAAAGGGACAGGCUCUUGGAAUAAAAACAGAAGUUUGAAGACGGGUAACUUGGAAUAGGAGGGGAGAUGCUAACCAAACACCGUUUUUCUAGAACUUCCUAAGCCACUACAAAAGGAAGCAAGGCUAGGCACGAUAAGAAAGGAGGGAUGGAACUGUGAAGUUGGAUCACUGGACACUGGGAAAGAUGCCAACCCACGUUGAGUGCCCUUGACUGUUAAGGAGACAAGACAUACUGCAGGAUGGCAUGGAGGUGGGGGCACUGGACCUCUGAGAAGAGCAGGAUGGAUGAGGGCUGUCCAAGGCACAAAAAGCACGGGGAUGUACAUAAAGCCAGAGGAGGUGGACAACAUGGAUGAAUUUCAUGCUGAGAUUUUGCCAAGAGGUCCAAGUGUUCCUUCCCUGCUUCUUGAGGUCAAUCCACCCUCCUCCCCAAUGUUUGUGCCUCUCCGUUUCCUGCUCCCAUUCACUCCCAUUUCUGAGAAGUAAUGAGGCUAUUCUGGUAGUGAUGUAGGCAGACCGGGGAUAUAGGCACACUCAAGCAAGUCUUAGGUGAGGGAUGUACAUGGCUCUCUAAUGGUACACUGUGUGGACCUUCGAGAACAUGAGGUUUAUGUGAAUUAUUAGGCUGGAUUUAACUUUUCUAUUUCCCGGUAUAGAGUAAAUGUUAUCUCCAAGAAUGAAUUUUGUUACCAGCCUGUGUUUUUUUUCAGAGGUAAUAUUCUUUAAAUCUCUAUAUUAUACAUGUUUUAAUUAAAUGGUAACUUACUGAAAUUUGAAAUUCACUAAAGGAGUAGAUUUUAAAUAUCUGGAUGUAUAAAUUGGUUUGAUUGUGGUAAUACUUUUGAAAUGCACAUGUAUAUUAACCAUCACAUAUCAUGUACCCAGAAUGCACACUGUUUCUGUUCAUUUUACUUCAAUAAAGUUGAAAAGCAUUACAAAUAAA